UACGUAGGGACCAAGCGUUGUUCGGAUUUACUGGGCGUAAAGGGCGCGUAGGCGGCGAAUCAAGUCAGUUGUGAAAUCUCCGAGCUUAACUCGGAACGGUCAACUGAUACUGUUUUGCUAGAGUGCAGAAAGGGCAACCGGAAUUCUUGGUGUAGCGGUGAAAUGCGUAGAUAUCAGGAGGAACACCGAUGGCGAAGGCAGGUCUCUGGGCCGAUACUGACGCUGAGGAGCGAAAGCGUGGGGAGCGAACAGG
rnacentral:rRNA from 1 species